AGAAAGUGCAGUGGCCUGUUGGACCACCUGGACAGCGAGGCGCGAGAGUUGGAAGUGUUUCCACCAUUACGUUAGAUACUCCUCUGCCGCAGAUUUGGAAGAUUUGCAAUAUUGUGGGUUGUAGAAGGUCCUUCCAACAACUUCAGGAACAGUUGCAGAACAAUCGCUGGAAGUGUUAAAUGCUACAGAAAGUAGCAUAGUUGUCAGAAUUAGAGGGCCAAAAAUAUUGAUGGGAAAGUCGAACUUCAGCCCUGAGUUUGAAGGUGUUAAUUGCUUGACAUUCAGAAUUAGGCG